UUAAUUUAACUCCAUAAACA
rnacentral:tRNA from 1 species